rnacentral:lncRNA from 1 species
UUGAGUUCGAGAUCUUCUGUUACUAAAGGAUGCCAGUGCACUGACCUACUCUUGAUGAUCAUUUCGGGUAAUAAAGCAUUAAUUGGAAAGGUGUGUGUUUAUGAACAGUUCAGAAGAGAGGUAAAAUCAUAAAUUAGAAGCUACUUCCAUGGAGGUUGCGGAUGUUUGUAGAUAAAUGGGUAGAGUUCCAAACCACUGUUUGGUUCUUUUCGUUUCCCACUAACCCCCGAACUUGAGGGUUGCGACAUGGAUCUUACUUGCUCCUCCUGCCGUUUCCUCCUG